rnacentral:rRNA from 1 species
UACGGAGGAUGCAAGCGUUAUCCGGAAUGAUUGGGCGUAAAGCGUCCGUAGGUGGCUGUGUAAGUCUGCUGUCAAAGAGCAAAGCUCAACUUUGUAAAGGCAGUGGAAACUACACGGCUAGAGUGCGUUCGGGGCAGAGGGAAUUCCUGGUGUAGCGGUGAAAUGCGUAGAGAUCAGGAAGAACACCGGUGGCGAAGGCGCUCUGCUAGGCCGCAACUGACACUGAGGGACGAAAGCUAGGGGAGCGAAUGGG